GACGUAGGGCGCGAGCGUUGUCCGGAUUUAUUGGGCGUAAAGAGCUCGUAGGCGGCUCGUUGCGUCGGCUGUGAAAACCCGCAGCUCAACUGUGGGCUUGCAGCUGAUACGGGCGGGCUGGGAUUCGGUAGGGGAGACGUGGAAUUCAUGGUGUAGCAGUGAAAUGCGUAGAGAUCAUGAGGAAGACCAGUGGCGAAGGCGGGUCUCUGGACAGUUCCUGACACUGAGGCACGAAGGCCAGGGGAGCAAACGGG
rnacentral:rRNA from 1 species